rnacentral:rRNA from 1 species
UACGUAGGUGGCAAGCGUUGUCCGGAAUUAUUGGGCGUAAAGCGCGCGCAGGCGGUCCUUUAAGUCUGAUGUGAAAGCCCACGGCUCAACCGUGGAGGGUCAUUGGAAACUGGGGGACUUGAGUACAGAAGAGGAAAGUGGAAUUCCACGUGUAGCGGUGAAAUGCGUAGAGAUGUGGAGGAACACCAGUGGCGAAGGCAGCUCGCUGGGACGUAACUGACGCUGAGACGCGAGAGCGUGGGGAGCAAACAGG